rnacentral:rRNA from 1 species
GACAGAGGAUGCAAGCGUUAUCCGGAAUGAUUGGGCGUAAAGCGUCUGUAGGUGGCUUUUUAAGUUCGCCGUCAAAUCCCAGGGCUCAACCCUGGACAGGCGGUGGAAACUACCAAGCUGGAGUACGGUAGGGGCAGAGGGAAUUUCCGGUGGAGCGGUGAAAUGCGUAGAUAUCAGGAGGAACACCGGUGGCGAAGGCGGGUCUCUGGGCAGUAACUGACGCUGAGGAGCGAAAGCGUGGGUAGCGAACAGG